UGAACGCUGGCGGCGGGCCUAAUACAUGCAAGUCGAACGGCUCUUCGGAGCAGUGGCGGACGGGUGAGUAACGCGUGGGAAUGUGCCCUUAGGUACGGAACAACACAGGGGAACUUGUGCUAAUACCGUAUGUGCCCUUCGGGGGAAAGAUUUAUCGCCUUUGGAGCAGCCCGCGUUGGAUUAGGUAGUUGGUGAGGUAAAGGCUCACCAAGCCGACGAUCCAUAGCUGGUCUGAGAGGAUGACCAGCCACACUGGGACUGAGACACGGCCCAGACUCCUACGGGAGGCAGCAGUAGGGAAUCUUGCGCAACGGGCGAAAGCCUGACGCAGCCAUGCCGCGUGUAUGAUGAAGGUCUUAGGAUUGUAAAAUACUUUCACCGGGGAAGAUAAUGACGGUACCCGGAGAAGAAGCCCCGGCUAACUUCGUGCCAGCAGCCGCCGUAAGAC
rnacentral:rRNA from 1 species